UUUCCGUAGGUGAACCUACGGAAGGAUCAUUCAUAAUAAAGUGUUUUAUGGCACUUUUUAAAAAUCCAUAUCCACCUUGUGUGCAAUGUUAGAUCUCGUCAAUCUUGGCGAGAUUUUUAUACAUCAACUCAUUCUUUAACUAAUUUGUCUGAAAAAUAUUAUGAAUACUUAAUUCAAAAUACAACUUUCAACAACGGAUCUCUUGGCUCUC
rnacentral:misc_RNA from 1 species